rnacentral:rRNA from 1 species
UACAGAGGUCUCGAGCGUUGUUCGGAUUCAUUGGGCGUAAAGGGUGCGUAGGUGGCGCUGUAAGUCGGGUGUGAAAUCCUGAGGCUUAACCUCGGAACUGCAUUCGAUACUGCGGCGCUUGAGGAUUGCAGAGGAGACUGGAAUUCCCGGUGUAGCGGUGAAAUGUGUAGAGAUCGGGAGGAACACCGGUGGCGAAGGCGGGUCUCUGGGCAAUUCCUGACGCUGAGGCGCGAAAGCGUGGGGAGCAAACGGG